GCGUGCAAUGAUGGCUACCAUCUUUCGGGUCUGAUCGUGAUGACACCCUUUUUACUGAGCACGC
rfam:Ascaris lumbricoides genome assembly, scaffold: ALTE_scaffold0001168